UACGGGGGGGGCAAGCGUUGUUCGGAAUUACUGGGCGUAAAGGGCUCGUAGGCGGCCAACUAAGUCAGACGUGAAAUCCCUCGGCUUAACCGGGGAACUGCAUCUGAUACUGGAUGGCUUGAGUUCGGGAGAGGGAUGCAGAAUUCCAGGUGUAGCGGUGAAAUGCGUAGAUAUCUGGAGGAAUACCGGUGGCGAAGGCGGCAUCCUGGACCGACAUUGACGCUGAGGCGCGAAAGCCAGGGGAGCAAACGGG
rnacentral:rRNA from 1 species